rnacentral:rRNA from 1 species
GACGAACGCUGGCGGCGCGCUUAACACAUGCAAGUCGAGCGAGAACCAGGGCUUCGGCCCUGGGGACAGCGGCGAACGGGUGAGUAACACGUGGGUAAUCUGCCCUUGACAUCGGGAUAGCCCGGGGAAACCCGGAUUAAUACCGAAUAGCCUCCGGAGCCUUCGGGCGCCGGAGAAAAGGUAGCUUCGGCCUCUGGUCAAGGAUGAGCCCGCGGCGGAUUAGCUUGUUGGCGGGGUAACGGCCCACCAAGGCAACGAUCCGUAGCUGGUCUGAGAGGACGAUCAGCCACACUGGGACUGAGACACGGCCCAGACUCCUACGGGAGGCAGCAGUGGGGAAUCUUGCGCAAAUGCGGGAAACCGUGACGCAGCGACGCCGCGGUGGGGAAGAAGGCC